rnacentral:misc_RNA from 1 species
GUGAAAUUUUACUAUUUUUUUUAUUUUUUGUCUUAUUUAAUAAAAAAAAUUCUAUAGUUUUAAUAUUUUCAUUGCUUUAUAAAUUAAAAUAAAAAUGAACAUUUUAAUAUAUUUUACAAAGUAAUACAAAGGAAAAAUAUUAAUAAAUAAAACAAAAUAAAGAAUGACCCCACACUCCAUAUCAUAUAGGGACACCGUUCCAUAUACAAGGUAUAAAAUAUAAUUAUUAUUGAUUUUUAUUAUUAUUUUAAUAAAAUUAAAAUAUAUUUAUUUUAUUAAUAAUUAUAAUAAAAAAUAUUUUUAUCUGGUGAAUAAAAAAAUAAAAUUAAAGUAAUAAUAAUAGUAAAUACCAUAUUUAUCAGCACACGUGGAUUAAAAAUUGACGUCAAAACUUAAACUCUGUCGUUUUGUUUCUCCCCACGAUUCAUUAAUCUAAUUUUUCUACUCAUAAAGCAAUGAAUAAAACACGUGGAUUAAAAAUUGACGUCAAAACUUAAACUCUGUCGUUUUGUUUCUCCCCACGAUUCAUUAAUCUAAUUUUUCUACUCAUAAAGCAAUGAAUAAA